rnacentral:rRNA from 1 species
CACGUAGUUAGCCGGUGCUUCUUCUACUGCUACCGUCACAAAAAGCUUCGUCACAAUUGAAAGCGGUUUACAACCCGAAGGCCGUCAUCCCGCACGCGGCGUUGCUGCAUCAGACUUCCGUCCAUUGUGCAAUAUUCCCCACUGCUGCCUCCCGUAGGAGUUUGGGCCGUAUCUCAGUCCCAAUGUGGCCGGUCGCCCUCUCAGGCCGGCUACCCGUCGAAGCCUUGGUGAGCCACUACCUCACCAACAAGCUGAUAGGCCGCGAGUCCAUCCCCAACCAAAAAAUAUCUUUCCAACCCACAAGAUGCCUUGCAAGCUCAUAUCCAGUAUUAGCAACCGUUUCCGACUGUUAUCCCAGAGAUGAGGGCAGGUUACUCACGUGUUACUCACCCGUUCGCCACUCGUGUACCCCAAAAAGGGCCUUACCGUUCGACUUGCAUGUGUUAAGCACACCGCCAGCGUUCGUCCUGAGCCAGGAUCAAACUCU